UAAUAUCAAUCCCCUCGGGUUUCUUGUGGACCUGGGGCGGACUUGGAGUUGGGCGCCUGCCGGUGACACGGCUCGCCUUAAAGACCUUAGUGGGACAGGUUGCCUACGGCUUGACGUAAUAAGUUUCGUCAGACCCGGUGACUCUGGCCCGCUCAGAAUCCGCCCUCCCGGGCAAUACCUUUAU
rnacentral:misc_RNA from 1 species